rnacentral:rRNA from 1 species
AGAGUUUGAUCAUGGCUCAGGAUAAACGCUGGCGGCGCACAUAAGACAUGCAAGUCGAACGAACUUAAUCGAAAGUUUACUUUUGAAGCGGUUAGUGGCGGACUGGUGAGUAACGCGUAAGCAAUCUGCCUAUCAGAGGGGAAUAACAGUGAGAAAUCAUUGCUAAUACCGCAUAAGCUGUGAGUAUCGCAUGAUACAAAUAGAAAAGGAGCAAUCCGCUGAUAGAUGAGCUUGCGUCUGAUUAGUUAGUUGGUGGGGUAACGGCCUACCAAGACGAUGAUCAGUAGCCGGACUGAGAGGUUAAACGGCCACAUUGGGACUGAGAUACGGCCCAGACUCCUACGGGAGGCAGCAGUCGGGAAUAUUGCGCAAUGGAGGAAACUCUGACGCAGUGACGCCGCGUGCAGGAAGAAGGUUUUCGGAUUGUAAACUGCUUUAGAUAGGGAAGAAAAAAAUGACGGUACCUAUAGAAUAAGCUCCGGCUAACUACGUGCCAGCAGCCGCGGUAAUACGUAGGGAGCGAGCGUUAUCCGGAUUUAUUGGGUGUAAAGGGUGCGUAGACGGGCUAGCAAGUUAGCUGUGAAAUCCCUCGGCUUAACUGAGGAACUGCAGCUAAAACUACUAAUCUUGAGUACUGGAGGGGAAAGCGGAAUUCCUAGUGUAGCGGUGAAAUGCGUAGAUAUUAGGAAGAACACCGGUGGCGAAGGCGGCUUUCUGGACAGAAACUGACGUUGAGGCACGAAAGUGUGGGGAGCAAACAGGAUUAGAUACCCUGGUAGUCCACACCGUAAACGAUGGAUACUAGGUGUAGGUGGUGAUGAAUCAUCUGUGCCGUCGCAAACGCAAUAAGUAUCCCACCUGGGGAGUACGACCGCAAGGUUGAAACUCAAAGGAAUUGACGGGGGCCCGCACAAGCAGUGGAGUAUGUGGUUUAAUUCGACGCAACGCGAAGAACCUUACCAAGGCUUGACAUAUGCAGGAAUAACAUAGAAAUAUGUUAGCUCUUCGGAGUCUGCAUACAGGUGGUGCAUGGUUGUCGUCAGCUCGUGUCGUGAGAUGUUAGGUUAAGUCCUGCAACGAGCGCAACCCCUGUUUCUAGUUGCCAGCGCGUAAUGGCGGGAACUCUAGAGAGACUGCCGGUAAUAAAUCGGAGGAAGGUGGGGAUGACGUCAAAUCAUCAUGCCUUUUAUGUCUUGGGCAACACACGUACUACAAUGGCCGUGACAGAGAGACGCAACACAGUGAUGUGAAGCAAAACUCAAAAAGCGGUCCCAGUUCGGACUGUAGGCUGAAAUUCGCCUACACGAAGUUGGAAUUGCUAGUAAUGGCAGGUCAGCAUACUGCCGUGAAUACGUUCCCGGGCCUUGUACACACCGCCCGUCACACCAUGAGAGUUGGGAAUACCCGAAGCCUGUGAGCCAACUAUUUAACAUAGAAGCAGCAGUCGAAGGUAGAAUCAAUGAUUGGGGUGAAGUCGUAACAAGGUAGCCGUAGGAGAACCUGCGGCUGGAUCACCUCCUU